CCCACACCAAUGUGUGCAGGACUCCAAAGGAUCACCAUUAAAUUUGGCACAGAUCUCUGUAAAAGUUAUCACAUGGGUGUGAGACUUGACUUUUUUAGAUAUCUGUAUCAAAUUUAAUGGUGAUCUUUUGGGGUCCUACACACGUGGGUAUGGG
rnacentral:pre_miRNA from 1 species